rnacentral:rRNA from 1 species
GGCGGCGUGCCUAAUACAUGCAAGUCGAACGGGGAGUAUUAAUUUCGGUUUUUACUCCUAGUGGCGAACGGGUGAGUAACGCGUUGGUGACCUGCCCCGAAGCGGGGGAUAACAGUUCGAAAGGACUGCUAAUACCCCAUGUGGUCGUACAGGUUAGAGGCUGAACGACUAAAGGAGCAAUCCACUUCGGGAGGGGCCUGCGUCCCAUCAGCUAGUUGGUAAGGUAACGGCCUACCAAGGCGAUGACGGGUAGGGGACCUGAGAGGGUGGUCCCCCACACUGGCACUGAAACACGGGCCAGACACCUACGGGUGGCAGCAGUAGGGAAUAUUGCACAAUGGGCGAAAGCCUGAUGCAGCAACGCCGCGUGCGCGAAGAAGGCCUUCGGGUUGUAAAGCGCUUUUCUGGAGGAAGAGGAAGGACGGUACUCCAGGAAUAAGGAUCGGCUAACUACGUGCCAGCAGCCGCGGUAACACGUAGGAUCCGAGCGUUAUCCGAAUUUACUGGGCGUAAAGCGCGUGUAGGCGGCCGGGUAAGUUGGACGUGAAAGCUCCUGGCUCAACUAGGAGAGGUCGUUCAAAACUGCCUGGCUAGAGGGCGACAGAGGGAGGUGGAAUUCCCGGUGUAGUGGUGAAAUGCGUAGAUAUCGGGAGGAACACCAGUGGCGAAGGCGGCCUCCUGGGUCGCCCCUGACGCUCAGACGCGAAAGCUAGGGGAGCAAACGGGAUUAGAUACCCCGGUAGUCCUAGCUGUAAACGAUGUGGACUUGGCGUUGGUGGGGUCAAAUCCAUCAGUGCCGUAGCUAACGCGAUAAGUCCACCGCCUGGGGACUACGACCGCAAGGUUAAAACUCAAAGGAAUUGGCGGGGGCCCGCACAAGCAGCGGAGCGUGUGGUUUAAUUCGAUGCUACACGAAGAACCUUACCCGGGUUUGACAUCCAGGUGGUAGGGAACCGAAAGGCGACCGACCCUUCGGGGAGCCUGGACAGGUGCUGCAUGGCUGUCGUCAGCUCGUGUCGUGAGAUGU